UACGUAGGGCGCAAGCGUUAUCCGGAAUUAUUGGGCGUAAAGCGCUCGUAGGCGGUUUGUCGCGUCUGCCGUGAAAGUCCGGGGCUCAACUCCGGAUCUGCGGUGGGUACGGGCAGACUAGAGUGAUGUAGGGGAGACUGGAAUUCCUGGUGUAGCGGUGAAAUGCGCAGAUAUCAGGAGGAACACCGAUGGCGAAGGCAGGUCUCUGGGCAUUAACUGACGCUGAGGAGCGAAAGCAUGGGGAGCGAACAGG
rnacentral:rRNA from 1 species